GUCCCACGAUGGCUCCGCGCAGGCCGAUAGCUCCACUCUGCCCUCCUCUGCUCCACAGGUGAAGCAGGAGGCCCCGGAGCUGCUACAGGAGGAAGAGGAGGUGAUCUGCAUCAAGGAGGAGCCAAAGGAAGAUCAGGAAGUGACGGCCUCCCUUCUGCCGGACUGCCACGUGCAGCAGGGUCCUUUUCCAGUGUCAGAGGCUCAGCGGUCAGCGACGGAGUGUUUGGGACCUCCAGUGAGCCAGAGAAGUGACACCGCAGCCUUCGGCUCAGCCGGACCCAACCCCCGUGAGUAGAUCCGUGUGUUUGUGGGAUCAUGGCGCUCCACCCGCUGCAUCUAUCGUAUUGAUUUGAGAAACCUCCCCG
ensembl:lncRNA